rnacentral:lncRNA from 1 species
UGGAAUUUCGCUAACUCCUCCGAAGGCUUUCGUUCCACCGGCACCACAUUUGCUCAGGCCAAUCUACACCCCAUGGCCAUUAAAAGUUAUUCAAAUCAUGACGCUGCACCCCACGGUUUAGGUUCUAGGGGGCGCCAAAGAUAACCCUAAAAUCCACAUAUUUCAAAGUCUUAUAACUUUUUAUUUUUGCCCUCACUGGCCUCCAAGUUUUCUAGGAUGAUGCAAUGUCCAGCCAUCAACACAUUUGUGAAGGAAUUUUUACUCCCCAAAAGAGCGCCCCCCCCAUGGCAGGAGAAAAAAGUCCAUUUUUUCUUGUCCCAUAAGGUGAAAAUUCACACUAUUGACUGUCACGCCUGUAUGCUUUGUCAAAAUUACACAAAAAUUGACACACACAUGUAUCUCAAUAAGAUCUACAAAAAAGUCAGUGCUGGCGUAUCUGUCAAAUGUACGGUUAAAGGGUUAUUGCGCAUUUUUUGCAGAUCCGCACACAUUGGAAUUUCGCUAACUCCUCCGAAGGCUUUCGUUCCACCGGCACCACAUUUGCUCAGGCCAAUCUACACCCCAGGGCCAUUAAAAGUUAUUCAAAUCAUGACGCUGCACCCCACGGUUUAGGUUCUAGGGGGCGCCAAAGAUAACCCUAAAAUCCACAUAUUUAAAAGUCUUAUAACUUUUUAUUUUUGUCCUCUCUGGCCUCCAAGUUUUCUAGGAUGAUGCAAUGUCCAGCCAUCAACACAUUUGUGAAGGAAUUUUUACUCCCCAAAAGAGCGCCCCCCCAUGGCAGGAGAAAAAAGUCCAUUUUUUCUUGUCCCAUAAGGUGAAAAUACACAUUGUUGACUGUCAUA